UACGUAGGGUGCAAGCGUUAAUCGGAAUUACUGGGCGUAAAGCGUGCGCAGGCGGCUUUGCAAGUCGGAUGUGAAAUCCCCGGGCUCAACCUGGGAACUGCAUUUGUGACUGCAAGGCUAGAGUACGGUAGAGGGGGAUGGAAUUCCGCGUGUAGCAGUGAAAUGCGUAGAUAUGCGGAGGAACACCGAUGGCGAAGGCGAUCCCCUGGACCUGUACUGACGCUCAUGCACGAAAGCGUGGGGAGCAAACAGG
rnacentral:rRNA from 1 species